CAACUACUCCCUCUGUCCCAAAUUUUUUGUCUUAGAUUUGUCUAGAUACGGAUGUAUCUAUGACUUGAUACAUCUGUAUCUAGACAAAUCUAAGACAACAAUUUUGGGACAGAGCGAGUACUUU
rfam:Triticum aestivum genome assembly, contig: Triticum_aestivum_CS42_TGACv1_scaffold_220731_3B